rnacentral:misc_RNA from 1 species
GAUGAAGAACGUAGCGAAAUGCGAUAAGUAAUGUGAAUUGCAGAAUUCAGUGAAUCAUCGAAUCUUUGAACGCACCUUGCGCCCUUUGGCUAUUCCGAAGGGCAUGCCUGUUUGAGUAUCAUGAACACCUCAACUCUCAUGGUUUGCCAUGAUGAGCUUGGACUUUGGGGGUCUUGCCGGCCUAUGGGUCGGCUCCUCUCAAAUUAAUCAGCUUGCCAGUGUUUGGUGGCAUCACAGGUGUGAUAACUAUCUACGCUUGUGGUUUUCCAUCAGGUAACCUUCAGUGAUGGAGGUUCGCUGGGGCUCAUAAAUGUCUCUCCUCAGUGAGGACAGCUUUUUUGAACGUUUGAUCUCAAAUCAGGUAGGACUACCCGCUGAACUUAAGCAUAUCAAUAAGAGGAGGA